rnacentral:lncRNA from 1 species
UUGAAAGCUUCCUAGCACAGCAGAUAGCCCGCUCCUGAAUGAAGUCUAGCAUCUUUGACGUUUCCAUGGUCUUCUACAUCAAGAUCUGCCAUUAAACAUGGUCAGUGACUCCAAAAUGAAUGGAGAAAGGUAAGAAAGCACUGUGAUUCCCAUUCUACAGGCGAGGGAUGGAGAGCAAAAGACAGUGGUGAGCCAGGCUAUAUGCAUCCAGGGAAAGAAACUUCCUUCCAAGAGCUAUGAAGUGUUACCUGUCCCUCAGCCUCUCUACAUGCAAGUAAUGGAUUUUAAUUUAGAAGUUCCAUAUGUACAAUGUAUUAUAUAGUAGACAGUGUUUCAGAAUAAUCCAAUAAAAGGUGAAAACUUUUCUAUACCA